CAGUAGCCACGGUAAUACGUAGGGUGCAAGCGUUGUCCGGAAUCAUUGGGCGUAGAGCGCGCGUAGGUGGCCAUUUAAGUCCGCUGUGAAAGUCAAAGGCUCAACCUUUGAAAGCCGGUGGAUACUGGAUGGCUAGAGUACGGAAGAGGCGAGUGGAAUUCCUGGUGUAGCGGUGGAAUGCGCAGAUAUCAGGAGGAACACCAAUAGCGAAGGCAGCUCGCUGGGACGUUACUGACACUGAGGCGCGAAAGCGUGGGGAGCGAACAGGAUUAGAUACCCCAGUAGUCCCUGUCUCUUAUAC
rnacentral:rRNA from 1 species